AGAACGAACGCUGGCGGCAUGCCUAAUACAUGCAAGUCGAACGAACACUUCGGUGUUAGUGGCGCACGGGUGCGUAACGCGUGGGAAUCUGCCCUUGGGUUCGGAAUAACAGUUGGAAACGACUGCUAAUACCGGAUGAUAUCGAAAGAUCAAAGAUUUAUCGCCCAGGGAUGAGCCCGCGUAGGAUUAGCUAGUUGGUGAGGUAAAGGCUCACCAAGGCGACGAUCCUUAGCUGGUCUGAGAGGAUGAUCAGCCACACUGGGACUGAGACACGGCCCAGACCUCCGUACGGGAGGCAGCAGGUAGGGAAUAGUUAGGACAAGU
rnacentral:rRNA from 1 species